CCUACGGGGAGCAGCAGUGAGGAAUAUUGGUCAAUGGACGAGAGUCUGAACCAGCCAAGUAGCGUGAAGGAUGACUGCCCUAUGGGUUGUAAACUUCUUUUAUAUGGGAAUAAAAUGUUCCACGUGUGGGAUUUUGUAUGUACCAUAUGAAUAAGGAUCGGCUAACUCCGUGCCAGCAGCCGCGGUAAUACGGAGGAUCCGAGCGUUAUCCGGAUUUAUUGGGUUUAAAGGGAGCGUAUGUGGAUUGUUAAGUCAGUUGUGAAAGUUUGCGGCUCAACCGUAAAAUUGCAGUUGAAACUGGCAGUCUGGAGUACAGUAGAGGUGGGCGGAAUUCGUGGUGUAGCGGUGAAAUGCUUAGAUAUCACGAAGAACUCCGAUUGCGAAGGCAGCUCACUGGACUGCAACUGACACUGAGGCUCGAAAGUGUGGGUAUCAAACAGGAUUAGAUACCCCUGUAGUC
rnacentral:rRNA from 1 species